GCCCGGUUAGCUCAAUCGGUAGAGCGUGAGACUCUUAAUCUCAAGGUUGCGGGUAAGUUGAGAUUCGUAUAUAUAUCUCUCUCUUACGAUCAUAUCUGGCUAACAUCACCUCCAAGGUUCGACCCCCGCAUCGGGCU